ACCCCUCUAUUCCUCUUCAUCCUUCCUGAUGUCGCUCUCCCCUCUCUCGGACCCAAUCGCGCCGAUCGCCGGCCGCUAGGCAUCGACGUCAACGACCACAAAGGAACAUACAUCUCUCCCCAUUGCCUCCAUUGCUCGUGCUACCGUUGUCCCGAUGCCUCAUCAAGCGUCGGCGCCAGGAUUCAUUAUAGCCGUGGAUGCCACUUCUUCCCUUUUCCCUAGCGUCGACCGCCCGAUCCACUACCACCUUUGGCCACGACAAGAGUUAGCCAGCAAGUGCCGAGCUUCCUCGCGCAUUUCUGGCCAAGACCCCUUCAGCCGAAUCCCUCUCCCUCUUCCAUCGAGGCACAUUCCUCUUCGCUGAAUUUGGCAUUGCUGCUAUCAGACCCCCUUCUUGGUCCAUAGGAGGCAUGGGGGGAUCUAUGCCUUGUCCAAUUUUGGUGAGGAUGACAACGGAACAUUGUCAUCUUUGUGGAUUCAAUGAGAGCUCCAACUCCUUACAAUUGCACUUGAGGUCUUUGAGAGUAGCUAUGAAUCUGAGUGGGAAGCUCCAUUUCCUUCAUAAUGGCUUUGGAUCUCUUCAUUGAAGGUUGUAGAUCAGUUUUGGGGUAAUAGGUAGAUUAUUGAGAAGUUGCUUGGAGGUUCCUGGCUGCCAGUCCCACGUCACAUCUGAGAUCGUUUUUUUAUGUUAUUUUGUAUUAUGCUUUCGAUACGUUGUGUUUGGUCUUGAUAUUAUGUGAUGUUAUUUGGUUUAUGAUUUUGAGCCUUGUGGUCAGAUUGUUAUUAUAUUUUGUAUUAUGGUACAAGUCAU